CGAAGCCAUUUUAGUGAAAAGAUCAUAUUCACAUUUCUCCGGCAUUUCACGGACAAUCAAGGAUAUGACUGUUUUUAGCUAUUCGGACGUUGAUGUGUUAAGAGGAAGAGGAAAUGAACAAUUAAUUCGAUACGCUUGAAAACAAGAUAUCGAGUUCUAAUAAAGGAAAUGACGUUUUAGAAAUGUUCAAAAUAUAUUCACAAAUUUGUGUGUCUCAAUAGCAUCGCCAGUUCUUGUGCGAAGUUUGAAAACUGAACAGAGUCCGUGUGACCCAGUACGACAUACACGAUUUACACACAAAGUCCGGCAGAUUCGUAUUUUGGGAGUUCUACGAGGAUCGUCCAUUGGAUAUUACAAGAUAGUAAUCGCGUCUUCUCCGCGCGAAAUCCUCCUCUAUCCAGACGAUUCUCCGAAGAUCACACGAGUCGGAGUUUCCCUGCUCGGAAAAACCGCAGGAUCGGCUUCGUAAAUUCCGACUCUGGAUCUUCUUCGGGAACCGACUACUCGGAGGGUAGUUGGAGCGUGUCGCGGCGGGGGCGGCCGGGGGAGAUCGGCCGGGGGAUGAUCUUCCGAAAAGUCAGAUGAAUUUUCAAGCCUCGAGGCGGGCGAAAGGCAAGGGAAGGGAUUCCGAGAGGCAGCGGUGCACAAAUCGUUAGCGAGAGGACGGUUUUCGGAAAAGGGGUUGCUUCUACCACCUCCCGCGCCCUCCUCUUUCUUCGUUUCCGCGUGCAAGCGAGCGUGCGGAUCCGCGCGAACGCGUUCCUGCAGUUCUGCCGCGUCGACCCGCAGCCACCGAUUCGUCGCCGGCCAACUGGGGCGUUUAAACGAUCGACAGUACCUGUUUCUGGUGUCUUUUGUACAGGACCUACCAUUUGACCUGGCCAGAUUAUGAAGGGCGUCCAUUUUUAGCGUUACCUUUAAAUUUCGCGCCGUUUGAACUUUUUGUACGAGAUCGACGGAUAUUAUUUGACAUUUUACAAGCAGAAGUAUAGAGAGAUAUUUGAUUCAA